rnacentral:lncRNA from 1 species
GGCAAGAGUCAGCUCCUGCUCUUAAGGAGCUUAUGCUCUAUUGGAAUAGAAAAUGCGAAGAACCAUGUACAAGCAAGCUAGAGGAUAAAUUGGAGAUAAUCAACAGAGGAAAGGAUCAGAAAAGAUUUCCCAUAGAAGUGAGAGAGUAUUGGAAAAGUCUACAACCUUGCAAGCUUCAAAAAAUUGGAAGAGUGAACUGCACAAGACCAGUGGCAGGAGGCCAGCUGGAGUUUGCUACCAACCAAGGCUUCAGAGCAACCCCCAUAGAUCUAUAAGGAUUGGAAGCCAAGUAGUUGAGAGAUUGACUCACCCAAGGGUUAAGCUAAAUUCAGAAGUAAAGUUGAUGGGGAAAAUGCCUUGUAGGAAGUGCUUUAAGUUUGAGUCUACUCUCCCCAGGAAACCAUGUUGGUAGAGAAGAGAGUGUACCUCUUAGUUGUUGUUGGAGGUGGAGCUCUUCCUUUGGUAAGUAGUUCAGAUAUCAUCCUCUGCAUGAAGAAGAUCCUGAUGCUUCCAACUGCUAAUGCCCUUUCUACUGAAAUAACUGUUUUAAGAUUUUGUAUAUAUUAGUAUUUUAUUAUCUUUGUAUUUUUGCUAUAUGCAUUUUUAAAAUGUGUACUUGUCUCCCAUAUUAGAUUGUUAAAAGAUUAGGUCCAGUGGUUUUGAAACCAUUAUGACAAUUUUCCCUUUAAAAGAGGCUAAUAAGCUAAUAGAACAUACUAAUGGGAAAAUACUGAUAAGAUUUUUUUAAAGGUUAGUACAACUGUGUUCCUCAAAUAAUAUUUUGUCUACUAUGAACUUGUUUUUCUCCUUGAUUACAAACCCUCAAAAUAAUAUUUUGCCCUGACUUCUAUGAUAUGCAAAUUAGCCAGUUUAAGAGAAACUAUCCAGAAAUCCAAGAACUCCACUCUCAAAAGGACACAUCUUCUCUAGCAGGAACAUACCUUCCUGAUGAAUGGACUCAUUUCUUUGUGCUUCCUAGCUUAACAUUACUCUUACGUGAAUUAUAUUCUGUGUUUGUGUGUAUGCCUAAAUUGUGUGUCUGAUAUCCUUUUUCUCUCUUCUCUUCCCCCUCUUCCCCAUUGCUUGCAAUAAAGUUUGGCAUUGAAAUGAUUUUCA